GACGUAGGGCGCGAGCGUUGUCCGGAUUUAUUGGGCGUAAAGAGCUCGUAGGCGGCUUGUCGCGUCGACUGUGAAAACUUGGGGCUCAACCCCAAGCCUGCGGUCGAUACGGGCAGGCUAGAGUUCGGUAGGGGAGACUGGAAUUCCUGGUGUAGCGGUGGAAUGCGCAGAUAUCAGGAGGAACACCGAUGGCGAAGGCAGAUCUCUGGGCCGUAACUGACGCUGAGGAGCGAAAGCGUGGGGAGCGAACAGG
rnacentral:rRNA from 1 species